GAUGAACGCUGGCGGCGUGCCUAAUACAUGCAAGUCGAGCGAACGGACGAGAAGCUUGCUUCUCUGAUGUUAGCGGCGGACGGGUGAGUAACACGUGGAUAACCUACCUAUAAGACUGGGAUAACUUCGUGAAACCGGAGCUAAUACUGGAUAAUAUUUUGAACCGCAUAGUGCAAAAGUGAAAGACGGUCUUGCUGUCACUUAUAGAUGGAUCCGCGCUGCAUUAGCUAGUUGGUAAGGUAACGGCUUACCAAGGCAACGAUGCAUAGCCGACCUGAGAGGGUGAUCGGCCACACUGGAACUGAGACACGGUCCAGACUCCUACGGGAGGCAGCAGUAGGGAAUCUUCCGCAAUGGGCGAAAGCCUGACGGAGCAACGCCGCGUGAGUGAUGAAGGUCUUCGGAUCGUAAAACUCUGUUAUUAGGGAAGAACAUAUGUGUAAGUAACUGUGCACAUCUUGACGGUACCUAAUCAGAAAGCCACGGCUAACUACGUG
rnacentral:rRNA from 1 species